CAAUUCUAGAGCUAAUACGUGCACGAAGGCUCGGACCUUUGGGGAAGAGCGCAUUUAUUAGACCAAAACCAAUCGAGCUUCGGCUUGUGUUUUGGUGACUCUGAAUAACUUAGUCGAUCGCACAGUCUUAGUACUGGCGACGUAUUUUUCAAAUGUCUGCCUUAUCAACUUUCGUUGGUAGGUUAUACGCUUACCAAGGUGACAACGGGUAACGGAGAAUAAGGGUUCGACUCCGGAGAGGGAGCCUGAGAAAUGGCUACCACAUCCAAGGAAGGCAGCAGGCGCGCAAAUUACCCAAUCCCAGCUCGGGGAGGUAGUGACGAAAAAUAACGAGGUCGUCCACUUUGUGGCCGGCCAUCGGAAUGGGUACAAUUUAAAUCUUUUAACGAGGAUCUAUUAGAGGGCAAGUCUGGUGCCAGCAGCCGCGGUAAUUCCAGCUCUAAUAGCGUAUAUUAAAGUUGCUGUGGUUAAAACGCCCGUAGUUGGAUUUUCGGUCUUGAAGCUUGGUAGCUCGUAAGGGUUUAACUGAGUCUUCUGGCCUAAAUUUUAGUUUUCUCCUGAUGCUCUUUAUUGAGUGUCUUGAGUAGCUAGAACGUUUACUUUGAAAAAAUUAGAGUGCUAAAAGCAGGCUAUAUGCUUGAAUAAAGUGCAUGGAAUAAUGGAAUAGGACUUUAGUUUUAUUUUGUUGGUUUUCGAAAUUAAAGUAAUGAUUAAGAGGAACAGACGGGGGCAU
rnacentral:rRNA from 1 species